AUUGAACGCUGGCGGCAUGCCUUACACAUGCAAGUCGAACGGUAACAGGUCUUCGGAUGCUGACGAGUGGCGAACGGGUGAGUAAUACAUCGGAACGUGCCCAGACGUGGGGGAUAACGAGGCGAAAGCUUUGCUAAUACCGCAUACGAUCUAAGGAUGAAAGCAGGGGACCGCAAGGCCUUGUGCGUUUGGAGCAGCCGAUGGCAGAUUAGGUAGUUGGUGGGAUAAAAGCUUACCAAGCCGACGAUCUGUAGCUGGUCUGAGAGGACGACCAGCCACACUGGGACUGAGACACGGCCCAGACUCCUACGGGAGGCAGCAGUGGGGAAUUUUGGACAAUGGGCGAAAGCCUGAUCCAGCAAUGCCGCGUGCAGGAUGAAGGCCUUCGGGUUGUAAACUGCUUUUGUACGGAACGAAAAGGCUCUGGCUAAUACCUGGGGCACAUGACGGUACCGUAAGAAUAAGCACCGGCUAACUACGUG
rnacentral:rRNA from 1 species